AGAGGGUGCGAGCGUUAAUCGGAAUUACUGGGCGUAAAGGGCGCGUAGGUGGUGAUAUGAGUCAGCUGUGAAAUACCCGGGCUCAACCUGGGGGUGUCAGUUGAGACUGUAUGACUAGAGUGCAGUAGAGGGAAGCGGAAUUUCCGGUGUAGCGGUGAAAUGCGUAGAUAUCGGAAGGAACAUCUGUGGCGAAGGCGGCUUUCUGGGCUGCAACUGACACUGAGGCGCGAAGGCGUGGGGGUAGCGAGCAGGAUUAGAUACCCUGGUAGUCCACGCGGUAAACGAUGAGUACUAGUCGACGGGGGUCUUUAGACUUCGGUGGCGCAGCUAACGCAGUAAGUACUCCGCCUGGGGAGUACGGCCGCAAGGUUA
rnacentral:rRNA from 1 species